rnacentral:rRNA from 1 species
GACGAACGCUGGCGGCGUGCUUAACACAUGCAAGUCGAGCGAGCGGCGAACGGGUGAGUAAGGCGUAGUAACUUGCCCCCCUCCCUGGGAUAGCGGUUGGAAACGGCUGCUAAUAACGGAUAGUGGGGUAUGGAAUCGCGUCCUAUCAGCUUGUUGGGGGGGUAAAGGCCUACAAAGGCGACGAUCAGAAACUGGUCUGAGAGGAGGAUCAGUCACACUGGAACUGAGAAACGGUCCAGACUCCUACGGGAGGCAGCAGUGGGGAAUAUUGGACAAUGGGCGAAAGCCUGAUCCAGCCAUGCCGCGUGUGUGAAGAAGGUCUUCGGAUUGUAAAGCACUUUAAGUUGGGAGGCGUUACCAGCAGAAUAAGCACCGGCUAACUUCGUGCCAGCCGCCGCGGUAAUAC